AACUUUGGCGGCAGUAAUUAACACAUGCAAGUCGAGCGCACCUUCGGGUGAGCGGCGGACGGGUUAGUAACGCGUGGGAACGUACCCAGAUCUAAGGAAUAGCCACUGGAAACGGUGAGUAAUACCUUAUACGCCCUUCGGGGGAAAGAUUUAUCGGAUUUGGAUCGGCCCGCGUUAGAUUAGGUAGUUGGUGGGGUAAUGGCCUACCAAGCCUACGAUCUAUAGUUGGUUUUAGAGGAUGAUCAGCAACACUGGGACUGAGACACGGCCCAGACUCCUACGAGAGGCAGCAGUGGGGAAUCUUAGACAAUGGGGGCAACCCUGAUCUAGCCAUGCCGCGUGAGUGAAGAAGGUCUUAGGAUCGUAAAGCUCUUUCGCCAGGGAUGAUAAUGACAGUACCUGGUAAAGAAACCCCGGCUAACUCCGUGCCAGCAGCCGCGGUAAUACGGAGGGGGUUAGCGUUGUUCGGAAU
rnacentral:rRNA from 1 species